rnacentral:pre_miRNA from 1 species
CUACUACUCCCUCCGUCCGAAAAUACUUGUCAUUGAAAUGGAUGUAUCUAGAUGUAUUUUAGUUCUAGACACAUCCAUUUUGAUGAAAAGUAAUUCCGGACGGAGGGAGUAUUAU